AUCUGAGAAACCGAAGCUCCUGAAGAGUGCAAUGACUGAGUCGGGUUUCUCGGGACUCUUUAAAAGGACGUAUUUCGAAGCUCGAAGAGCGGAAUCUGGGAGGAACCCACAAUUGUUGACGAGGUAACUCACCGUAAAGGAUUGUUUUUCCAGGGUUUUGGUGACUGUAGCGUAAUUGGGAGCAGGGAAUGGGGAAGAAGGUGAAGGGAUCAGAAAUGAGGUUGAUGGGGUUCUUGUGAUGACUGUAAGGUGGUACAAGAACAGGUUUUUGAGACAAGAUCCCCGCAUGAGUUCUAAUUUUUUUGACGGAGUAAAAUGGGAGAAGGGAUAACCCCUAAAUAGGGAUUCAGGAGGAGAAGAAAAACGAUUUAUUAAGACGGGCUCGAUCUAAUAGUUAAAAUAUCGUGUGAAAUUAGCACUUAUUGAGUUGGGCCCACAGCCUAAGGCCCAAUAUGGCAAGAUGAAGUCCGAAGGUGCAAGCUAUCCAGGGGCAUUCUUGUCCAAUAUGUUUGACCGAUCUGGCUGCGGUUCUGACCCGCUGCUACCACGCUUACUGCACCGACUGCAUCCGCCGUUGGAGUCACGUGCGCAGAGCGUGCCCUCUCUUCCAGAACCUUCCGGCAAGCACUUCAAUGGCGUGCUAGGUAUGCUAACAACAAUACAAUUCAAUUCAACUGACUGAUAUGAUUUGGGAAUUGGGGUUUUGCCGUUUUGUAGCAUAUACAAUCAAAGGCUGCAACCUGAUUAUGCAUCCCUAAGGUUUCUUGAGCCAGGAUGCGAAGGCUUCUCUUUUUCUCCUUUCUCAUUUUCAACUCUUAGUUGCAGUUACAUUCUUACUCUCAAUGCAAUGAGUCUUUUAAGUGUUUAAAUUUUCAGAAUGGAACAAGAAAAUAUGCUGUGAAAAGGGAAAUUCUAGAACGGAUUGAACCAUGGAUAAUGAGGGAGCUACAAGAGAAGGCGGCGACAUUCAUAUUACCUGAUAUAACAUAUUGCUGUUUGUUGUAUUUAUAAUGAGUUAGCCUUAGUUAGUUCUCCCUAGUUUUGUUAGUGCAGGUUAGUGUAGUAUAUAUACAUAUGCAGUUAGUUGCUAUAUUAGUUGCUGUAAACAUUUCUUGAGGGAAGUCAUAAUGAAAGUUAACAUUUUUGGCUCAUUCUCUUCAUUGGCUCUGAAUCUGAACUUGCUUACCUCUUCCCUCACACACCUUCAAGGAUGCAAUGUUCGUUUUGUAACAAAACUGGACACAUAGUAGAUACAUGUUACAAGAAAUACGGACUUCCUCCUCAUCUAAGGCAAAGAAACACUAAACUCUGCCCCAGCAAUGAUGAUCUCGGUUUCAAUCACCCCCAGUUGGAGGAGAAGAAGACUACAGGGAGCGAUUUCACUCCAGAACAAAAGGAAGCUUUGCUGGCCUUACUCAAUAAGCAAGAAGUGCAACAUAUUCAUAGCGUGAACCACAUCUUAACUCAACCUCAGCCACCUUCUCAUGGUAAGGUGACACAUAUUCUGCAUUUUAAAUCUCACAUAAAGGCUCUUAAUGUUUGCAUACAAAAGUAUAAAUCUUGGGUAAUAGACACUGGUGCCACUGAUCAUGUGUCAUAUUGCCUCAGGGAUUUUUCUAAAACAUUUGAAAUUGAUCCGAUCAUUGUCAAACUCCCUAAUGGUACUUCCACUGUGAGCUGCAUUGUGGGAACCAUUAAGUUUUCAGAAAAUCUUUAUCUUACCAAUGCAUUGUACAUUCCUUCCUUUAACUUUAAACUCAUAUCAGUGUCGAAGCUAACUGCAUCGUUGCAUUGUAAAAUGACUUUUUCUGAUAUAAACUGUGAGAUACAGGACAAACACACAAAGAAGAUGAUUGGUAUUGCUAACUCUGUUGAUGGUCUAUACAUACUAAAUAAGCACAGCAUUGCCCCUCUUGGCGAACACUAUACUGCACACCAUAUCACAGCACCCACACAAAGAGCACACAUGCAGCAUUUAUGGCAUGAUAGAUUAGGUCAUAUUCCUAAUAAUAGACUAGCUGUUAUGAAGCAAACUUUCAAUUUCAUUGAUUGUACAAUAAAUGAAAAUCCUUGUGACUCUUGUCAAUUAGGAAAACAAAGAAGAUUGCCUUUUUCUCAAAGUGAUACUGUUUCUGAUAAUAAUCUUGAUUUGCUUCACAUUGAUAUUUGGGGACCACUUGCUAUUUCGUCUAUUGAUGGCCAUAGAUACUUUCUCACUAUAGUGGACGACAAGUCCAGAUUUACUUGGAUAAAUUUGAUGAAGUCUAAGGCUGAAGCAGCAUCUUUGGUGCAAAAUUUUGUUAAACUUGUCAAAAACCAAUUUGAAAAAUCUGUAAAAAUUAUUCGGACUGACAAUGGUCCUGAAUUUUUAAUGCCAACCUUUUAUGCUUCAUUUGGAAUUUUGCACCAAAGGUCAUGCAUUGAGACGUCACAGCAAAAUGGUGUUGUUGAACGAAAGCAUCAACACAUUUUGGCUGUGGCAAGGGUCAUUAUGUUCCACGCCCAAAUACCUAAGUAUUAUUGGAGUUUUGGAGUGAUCCACGCAGUCUAUUUGAUAAAUCGAAUUCUCACACCUCGUUUACAUGAAAAAUCUCCAUUUGAAGUAUUGCAUAAAUCACUCCCCCAUAUCUCUCACCUUAGAGUAUUUGGUUGUUUAGCAUAUGCAAGCACGAUCAAGAAUAGCAGAACAAAAUUGGACCCUCGUUCAAGAAAAUGUGUUCACCUCGGUUUCAAGGAAGGUACCAAAGGUUAUAUGCUUCUUGAUCUGAUUUCAAAAGAAAUUUUUGUCUCGAGAUGUCAAAUUCUAUGAAAAUCAUUUUCCAUAUAUUGCUUCAUCUCAGUUGCCUAUUGAUUCUCACCAAGAACCAGCUUUUCAGCAACAUAAUACACCCCACGUCAUGCAUGAUUAUGAUUUGUUUGACCACCACAUAACCGAUCUGCACACCCCUGCUUCCAAUCCACUCCACACUAGUCAACCUACACCACACAUACACACUGCCACACAACCCACAGAUAUUGAAUCCUCGAGUCCAGCAUUGCAUGCACAACCCACUCAUUCAAACAUUCAACAUCACAAUGUAUUACCAUCUUCUCACCCCACACCGAGAAGAUCAUCACGCAUUAGUAAACCACCAACAUACUUAAAAGAUUAUAAAUGCAUGAAUAUUACUGAUAAUCACAACAGAGAAACUUCUUCCAAUCAACGAUAUCACAUCUCAAAGUUUUUAUCAUACAAAUCUCUUUCACCCAUGCAUAGUGCAUACUCAUUAGCUAUCUUGAACAUUGAGCCUAAAUGCUAUGAAGAUGCCAUACUUGAACCUUGUUGGCGAGAGGCCAUCCGAGCUGAAUUGGAUGCUCUGAAUGAGAACAAAACCUGGACAUUGACUUCCUUUCCGAGUGGUAAGAAGGCGAUUGGUUGUAAGUGGAUCUUUAAGGUCAAAUAUCACCCUGAUGGUAGUGUUGAGCGACACAAGGCUCGUCUCGUGGCAAAGGGGUUCACUCAAGUCCCCGGAAUUGACUAUAAAGACACGUUUAGUCCCGUUAUCAAGCUAGGAACACUGCCGGUUGUUUUGGCACUGGCUGCUGUCAAGGGAUUGCAUUUGAAGCAAAUUGAUGUUAAUACUGCCUUUCUGCAUGGUGAGCUUGAUGAGGAAGUGUACAUGAAACCCCCCGAAGGUCUUGCGAUAGCUCCGGGUCAGGUUUGCAAGCUUGAAAAGUCUCUAUAUGGGCUUAAACAAGCUAGUAGACAAUGGAACUUCAAACUGAAAUCUGUUCUGCUAGAGUUAGGAUAUAAUCAGGGAAAAUCUGAUUACAGCAUGUUUACUAAAUCCCAAAGUACUGGUUUUACAGUCAUUUUGGUUUAUGUUGACGAUUUAGUGUUGGCAGGGGACGAUUUGUUUGAAAUUGGAAGGGUGAAACAGACUUUGCAUGACAGAUUUCGGAUUAAGGACAUAGGUGAUCUCAAGUUCUUCCUUGGCUUAGAGGUUGCUAGGUCUUCAAGAGGCAUAGCUUUAUAUCAGCGAAAAUAUGUUCUAGAUCUCUUGCGGGACACUGGAUUUGAGCAUUGUAAGCCUGUCUCCACUCCCAUGGACUAUGGGGCGAAAUUGAGCAAGGAUAAUGGAGAUAGUUUGCCUGAUUCCUCUUAUUAUAGGAAAAUCAUUGGAAAACUGUUGUAUCUCUCAAACACAAGGCCGGAUAUAAGCUUUGCAAUUGGCAAGCUCAGCCAAUUCUUGGAUUGUCCCACAACUAAUCACUUGCAAGCAGCACAUAGGAUCCUCAGGUACAUAAAGAACUCUCCGGCAGCGGGGCUGUUCUUCUCGGCCAAUUCCGAUAUAUCUCUCACUGGAUUUUCUGAUUCUGACUGGGCUGGAUGCCCCGACUCGUGACGAUCGGUUUCAGCCUAUUGCUUCUAUAUGGGUUCCUCCCUUGUCACUUGGAAGAGCAAGAAGCAAGUAACCGUCGCAGCUUCUUCCUCUGAGGCAGAAUAUCAGGCUCUUGCACUGGCCACCAGAGAGGCUCAAUGGCUUAGUUAUGUGUUGAAAGACUUAGGAGCACCUCUUGGUAAACCUGUGAAUUUGUACUGUGAUAGUAAAUCUGCCAUUUAUAUUGCUACUAACCCAGUAUUUCACGAGCGUACAAAGCAUAUCGAGGCUGAUUGUCACAUUGUGAGGGAUAAAUUGCAAGAAGGCUUAAUUCAUCUUUUACCAAUUUCUACACAUGAACAAGUCGCAGACAUCAUGACUAAGCCUCUGGCACCAGGACCGUUCAACAUAUUGUGUAGCAAGCUUGGGUUGUUGGACAUUUUUAUGCCCAACCCUCCCAGCUUGAGGGAGGGUAUUACCUGAUAUAACAUAUUGCUGUUUGUUGUAUUUAUAAUGAGUUAGCCUUAGUUAGUUCUCCCUAGUUUUGUUAGUGCAGGUUAGCGUAGUAUAUAUACAUAUGCAGUUAGUUGCUGUAAACAUUUCUUGAGGGAAGUCAUAAUGAAAGUUAACAUUUUUAGCUCAUUCUCUUCAUUGGCUCUGAAUCUGAACUUGCUUACCUCUUCCCUCACACACCUUCAACAAUUCAUGUUGGACCUCUUAGUCCAUUCCUACAUGAUAAAGCCAGCAUCUUUUGGCAUGAGCUAAGGUACUUGACUCUCUUGAUUCUGUUGGUAAGAAUGUUGUUGCCCUUAAUUUUCAAUUGGUAAGAGGGUUGUCACAACAUGGAUACCUACGAUGAACAAUUACUGUUGGUGAUGAUGCCUUCCCACAACUAUGAAUUAUGAUACCAAAUCUCUUGGUGAUGAUGCUUAUUCGUGUUCCUUGUUGGUGUUGGUGCAUGUUGCAAACUUUCAGUAGCAUCCGAACAAGUGUACAACAUUUGUAUGAUAAUAAUAAUACUGUCAAACAUUUAAAAAGAACAUGUGUUGCUGAUUCACGUCCAAUUCAAUCCGUUUCCUACGAUGUCAAAUGUAAUUAGUUCAAGGUGUGUUGGUGUAAAAAGACCAGCCUUGUAAAUAAUAUUUAUGCACAUCGACUGUAGCAUCUCUAUUAAAUGGUAAUUUGUGUAGCCAAGCUGAUAAAUCUUUGUGCAUGGACAUGAUAAAUCUAGCAUCUGCAAUUGAACAUGGUUCUGGUAGGAAAUCUUUGUCAGAGUCCCUGGUUCAAGAUUCUAAUUUCCCACAUACCAAUCUCUCUUCCCUUCCCAAGCAAUUCAAGCUCGACAAAGAAUACAAUACAGAUGUCAAGAUUGACAAGAACUCUGAUCAAGGUUCUUUCCCUCCGGUAAAACACAUCUAAAUAUCAUUAGUAUUUAUUAUUCCAAAAUAUGUCUGAUAAAAGUGGGGCGGGGGUAGAUGAAACACGAUAGUAGUUUAAUUUGUCAUACAUUUCAGGCAGCAGAUCAGAGAAGAAAUGAAGUUGAUUAUGGUAAUCAUGGAGCAAAGAUGAAUGUGGAGGAAAAACAGUUAUUGCCAUCUGAAAUUUUAAAUCAGCAAAACCAAGGAUUUGAAAACAUCAGACUAGAAGGCGAUGAUGCUUCAUUUCUUGAAAGCAAUAAAUUCUGAUCUGUGUCUACUUCAAGUUUGUACCAUUACUAUGAAAGUAAAAUGGCGGCUCUGAUAAGGAAAAAUGGAAUUCUAGAGGGACAACUGGCGGCUUCCCUCGCAAACAAAGAAGCCGCAGAGAAAAGCUUAGCAUCUGCUAUUAAAAGCCGGAACGAAAUGGAGACAAAACUAGGUGAGGCAGUGAAGGAGAUGGAAUCACUGAGAGAAAAGCUGGGGUUUUAGAGUUAGCACAAGAAGAGGCCAACAACCUAUCAAGCAUGGUCCAUUCGGAUAAUGUACGGCUCGAACACGAUGUGGCCUUCCUCAAGGCUGUUUUAGAUGAUACACAAAAGGUACAUAACAUUAACACACUUUGAUGGAAAAAAGCAUUUGGAUCAAUCAUUUUAUACAAUAAUGUAAUCGGCUGAUUGAGUUUUUGUUGUAGGAGCUGCACUCAACCAGAGGUGUGAUUGCUGGAGAGAGAGCCAGGGCAUUCCAACUACAGGUAUAAAUAUAACUAUUUGUAUUGAUUACUAGCCUUAGCUGUAUCAUUCAUAACAUCACUUUCUUGUUGUACACACAGUACGAAGUAUUUCAUCUCAAACAGAGAUUGCAAUCAGUGGAGAAUCGAGAACCUACUCCAAGGAAACCUUUUGAUCUGCAGUGAAGUGAAGUGGGUAGUUGAAGAGUAGUUACUAAUAACCAUUUAAAUCAGUUAAUGUGAUCUUUAUUUUAUUUUAUUUUUAACAAUUUGUGAUCUAGUGAUAUAGUGGGUAAUGGUAACUGCCAUUAUGUUAAGGGGAAUAAACUAACAGGUAGAGGAAUGUAAAAAUGGUAUUUGUCUUUUUCUCUUAUUUAACGAUAAAUAAAUCUUUGACUUUUUAAUUCGAAGACAGGAGUUAUUUGUCUUUGACUUAAUAAAUUAGAAAUCUGUUUGUCCUUUUCUCUUAUUUUAUUUAACUAAAAAUCCAAUUCCAGUUGCCACCUUAAAAGUUCUGAUAUUGUUUAUUGCUCCUGAAUAUUGAAAAACUAAUGAACUAUAACCAGCAAAAUGAAUGCAAAAUAUCAAAGGAGAACUCAUAGGCAUCAAGACAUCAAUUUACUAUCCAUUACUGGAAGAUUCAUUUUCUCAUUAUACAGCGUCAAUAAGUCGGGAGCAUGAUCCUUGUCACGAUUAACAUACUUCUUAAAAAACUCCUCUUCAGAAACAAAAUAUGCAGAAGCAUGCCUGCCACUCUUAAUGACACCAUUGGAGAUAAGAAUCUUCAUGACAGCAGCCCUCGGAACAAUCCUUUUGUCCAAAUCCAGCGAGAGAAGAACCGGAUUAUUGGUUACUUCAGCAGUCUCCCAACCGAGUUCUUUGACAAAGAAUCCAACGCAGGCCUCAAUUUUCUGCACAGAUUUCAGCAUACAGAAAGGGUGCUUCACAAAAGCCUCACGAAUGUUGUCAUCAGUUAAUCCAAAACUCUUGUACAACUCAACUUUCUUAUCCCACAUGGACUUUGGAAGAAACUUAGCAUACAAUGCAGCAACAAAAUUAGCCUUGUUGGGAUCAACCCCCAUUUUAAUGACUUCAUCUACUAUACUCUUGAGGCGAACUUCAGAAUUGAAUACAAGCAAGCAAGGCCACUGGCGAAUUAGCCAUGACAUGCUUAUCUCACGGACUCCUAAAUCAACCAACAAGUUAAUAUUUCGAAGCGUCUUAGAAUAAGUUAAAAUUCGGACAGCGCGUAAGAUAGAAGCAACGGUCCUUUCUUCAGAACGAAUGAAAUUGUUCAAAAAAUCGAAAGUGGGGAUCAGGUGUUUCUCUAAGCUUCUUUUCAAGAUUAGAGGGUUGAGCUCAAUGAUGCGGGCAAGUUGGGAUUUUGAAGCACCUUUGGAGAUGAGGAACUCGAGCUUGGGCAAGAUGGUCUCUUUGGGUUUGCUGACGAGAACCUUGGGUGAUCUCCGAAUGACAUUGUGAAACUGCAAAUCUGUGAAACCGAAGCUCCUGAAGAGUGCGAUGACUGAGUCGGGUUUCUCGGGACUCUUUAAAAGGACGUAUUUGGAAGCACGAAGAGCGGAAUCUGGGAGGAACCCACAAUUUUCCACGAGGUAAUUCACCGUAAAGGAUUGUUUUUCCAGGGUUUUUGUGACUGUAGCGUAAUUGGGAGCAGGGAAUGGGGAAGAAGGUGAAGGGAUCAGAAAUGAGGUUGAUGGGGUUCUUGUGAUGACAGUAAGGUCGUACAAGAACAGGUUUUUGAGACAAGAUCCCAGCAUGAGUUCUUAUUUUUUUGACAGAGUAAAAUGGGAGAAGGGAUAAACCCUAAAUAGGGAUUCAGAAGGAGAAGAAAAACGAUCUAUUAAGACGGGCUCGAUCUAAUAGUUAAAAUAUCGUGUGAAAUUAGCACUUAUUGAGUUGGGCCCACAGCCUAAGGCCCAAGAUGGCAAGAUGAAGUCCGAAGGUGCAAGCUAUCCAGGGGCAUUCUUGUCCAAUACGUUUGACCGAUCUGGCUGCGGUACUGCACCGACUACAUCCGCCGUUGGAGUCACGUGCGCAGAGCGUGCCCUCUCUUCCAGAACCUUCCGGCAAGCACUUCAAUGGCGUGCUAGGUAUGCUAACAACAAUUCAAUUCAAUUGACUGAUAUGAUUUGGGAAUUGGGAUUUUGUAGCAUAUACAAUCAAAGGCUACAACCUGAUUAUGCAUCCUUAAGGUGUCUUGAGCCAGGAUGCAUAGGCUUCUCUUUUUCUCCUUUCUCAUUUUCAACUCUUAGUUGCAGUUACAUUCUUACUCUCAAUGCAAUGAGUCUUUAACUGUUUAAAUUUUUAGAAUGGAACAAAAAAAGAUGCUGUGAAAAGGGAAAUUCUAGAACAGGUUGAACCAUGGAUAAUGAGUGAGCUACAAGAAAAGGCGGCGACAUUCAUGUUGGACCUCUUAGUCCAUUCCUACAUGAUAAAGCCACCAUCUUUUGGCAUGAGUUAAGGUACUUGACUCUCUUGAUUCUCUUGGUAAGAAUGUUGCUGCCCUUAAUUUUCAAUUGGUAAGAGGGAUGUCACAACAUGGAUACCUACGAUAAACAAUAGGAGUGAGUGGACAACACACAUUAGCUGUUGCUGUUGGUGCUGAUGCCUUCCCACAACUAUGAAUUAUGAUACCAAAUCUCUUGGUGAUGAUGCUUAUGGUAGGGUACGAUGCAACUGACUUUUAUAAUGACUUAAAAAAAAGAAAUGAAAGUACAGCAAUGAAAAAUGGUUCUGCAACUCUUCAAUGAAACAGUACAAAAAGGAACUAUUAAAAGGUAGUCAUUGUAAAAGUAAGCAAAAGAUAAUAAAGCGGUAUAAUAAUCGAAGAGAAUCGCAGGAUAGCUUCCAAGAUUCAGCAAUGUCCUGGGAAAGGGAGAAAGAAAAUUCAAAAUGAUUUCAGAGAAGGUAUAGAGAGAGAGGUUCAGAGAGAGUCAAAGAAAGUAAGAGAGAGAUGACCAAUUACCACAAGUUCGUUACCCAACAAACUCCUCCAGCCUCCUAUUAAAAGUUCUUUUUCUCUUACCUUUUCUCACUUCCUGAAUUGGUGGAUUUUACGCCAUCUGUCCACUCUGCAUAACUAACUCCUUUUCUUCAUUGAGUGCCAGCUGCUCCUUAUUAUUGGAGACUAAUUCAUCAUUAAUUUCCCUAAUUGUCGUAGCUUUAUUUUUCUCCCUUACAUUACCCUCCCCAUUAACAUCAACCUUGCCCUCAAGGUUGAAUUGAGGAUGCAUCUUGAGGAAUUCACUAACCAAUUCCCAAGUAAAUUCAGCCGCUGUACCUUGUCCCCAUUGCACUUUCAACUGCUGUUUCUCAGGGGAAGUGGCAAAUAUUGUUGUUGUUGGUCACCGCGAAACUUUUUUAACACAGAGUUGUGAAAGGUGUUGUGAGGUGUUGUGAAUUCUAGCGUGGGCAGGUGAUGAGCGAAUAAUUUAUACGCUUUUUGGCAUUGUUUUUAGUAUGUUUUUAGUAUAUUUUAGUAAGUUUUUAUUAUGCUUUUAUUAGUUUUUAUUUAAAAAUCACAUUUCUGGACUUUACUAUGAGUUUGUGUGUUUUUUUGUGAUUUCAGGUAUUUUCUGGCUGAAAUUGAGGGACCUGAGCAAAAAUAUGAUUUAGAGGCUGAAAAAGGACUGCAAAUGCUGUUGGAUUCUGACCUCCCUGCACUCGAAGUGGAUUUUCUAGAGCUACAAAAGCCCAAUUGAUGCGCUCUCAAUUGCGUUGGAAAGUAGACAUUCUGGGAUUUCCAGAAAUAUAUAAUAGUCCAUACUUUUUUCAAGAUUUGAUGGCCCAAACCGGCGUUCCAUGUCAGCUUAAGAAUUCUGGCGUCAAAACGCCAGAACUGGCACAAAAGUUGGAGUUAAACGCCCAAAUUGGCACAAAAGCUGGCGUUUAACUCCAAGAAAAGUCUCUACAUGUGAAAGCUUCAAUGCUCAGCCCAAGUACACACCAAGUGGGCCCGGAAGAAGAUUUCUGCAUUAAUUACUUAUUUUUGUAAACCCUAGGCUACUAGUUCUCUAUAAAUAAGACCUUUUACUAUUGUAUUUUCAUCUUGGUUCUUCAGGUUCCCUCUUUGGGGCCGAAGCCAAUGACCACCAUUAUCACUUUUGUAUUUUCAACGGUGGAGUUUCUACACACCAUAGAUUAAGGUGUGGAGCUCUGCUGAUAUCUUUAUUUUAUGUUUUAUUUAUCUUUAAUUAUCAAUUCUCCAUAACCAUUUGAAUCCGCCUGACUGAGAUUUACAAGAUGACCAUAGCUUGCUUCAAGCCGACAGUCUCCGUGGGAUCGACCCUUACUCACGUAAGGUAUUACUUGGACGACCCAGUGCACUUGCUGGUUAGUUGUGCGGAAUUGUGACAAAGUGUAAUUCACGUUUGAGAGCUCCAAGUCUUUGGCGCCAUUGUUGAUGAUCACAAUUUCGUGCACCAAGUUUUUGGCGCCGUUGUCGGGGAUUGUUCGAGUUUGGACAACUGACGGUUCAUCUUGUUGCUUAGAUUAGGUACUUUUUAUUUUUAAGAAUUUUUAAGAAUGAAUUCUAGAGUUUCAAGGUGAUGUUCUUAUCAUCACAAAAGCUGAUUGAUUCUCAUCAAUUUAGCUNNNNNNNUGGCUAACCAUGUCUAAUCUUUUUAGACUGAAGCUUUAGACUAACAUUGCAUGAUUCCUGGAAUUCUUAUUAAAAGUUUUGAAUCUCUUUAUUCUCUUUUCCAUAUAAUUUUCGAAAAAUCACAAAAUUUUUUUUAUAAAAUCAUAAAAUCAAAAAUAUUUUUAUGUCUCUUGUUUGAGUCUAGUGUCUAAUUUUUAAGUUUGGUGUCAAUUGCAUGUUUCUAUUCUUCUUGCAUUUUUCAAAUAUAUGCAUUAUGUUCUUCAUUGAUCUUCAAGUUGCUCUUGAUGAUUUCCUAGCUCUGAUCUUUAAAUUCUCUUGUUUUGUGUGUUUUGUUGUUUCUUACAUGCAUUUUCAAAUUGUUAUAGUCCUUAGUAUACAAACCUCUAAGUUUGGUGUCUUGCAUGCAUUGUUUAUUUGAUCUUAGUUGCAUUUUUUAUUGUUUCUCAUCAUUAAAAAUUCAAAAAUAUUUUCAAAAUUGUGUCUUUUCAAGUCAAUAAUACAGAGAAUUGAAGAUUCAGAACAUUCAGCAGAGGAAUUAAACAGAAAAAGCUGGGCAUUCAAAACGCCUAGUGAAGAAGGAAAACUGGCGUUUAAACGCCAGCCAGGGUACCUGGCUGGGCGUUUAACGCCUAAAAAGGUAGCAUUUUGGGCGUUAAACGCCAGAAUGGAUGCCAUUCUGGGCGUUUAACGCCAGGAGGACACUAGAGAGAAGAUUUUGUUUUUAAUUCAAAUUUUUUUCAAAUCUUCAUAAUUUUUCAAAAUCAAAUCUUUUUCAAAUCAUAUCUUUUCAAUCAUAUCUCUUCAAAAUCAAUUUCUUUCCAUUUUUUAUUUAUUAUUAUUUUCGAAAAUCCUUGCUACAAUUAAUGAUUUACUUCAAAAUUUUCAAGUUGUUACUUGCCUAUUAAGAAAGGAUCAAAUUUUAAAUUUUAGAAUCAUAUCUUUUAAUUUCUUGUUAGUCAAGUAAUCAACUUUAAUUUUAAAACUUUCUUUUUUAAUUUGAUUUUCAAUCAUAUCUUCUCAAUCAUAUCUUUUCAAUCACAUCUUUUUCAAAAUUAAUUUUCAGUCAUAUCUUUUUAAUUUCUAAUUUCAAAAUCUUUUUCAAAAUCACUUAAUUUCUUUCCCAAUCUUAAUUUUCGAAAAUCUCAAUCAAAUUUUCAAAUUUUUUUUAUUAUUUUAAAAAUCUUUUACUUUAAUUUCGAAAAUUCUUCCCCUCUUCUCACAUCCUUCUAUUUAAGGGACUAACACUCCUCCUCAAGGUGCAAUUCGAACCCUACCCUUCUUGAUAAGUUCGAAUUCUCUUCUAUCUACCUUCUCCUUCUAUUCUUCUUUUCCUCUGACACCUCAAGGAAUCUCUAUACUGUAACAUAGAGGAUUCAUACUUUCUUAUUCUCUUCUCUUUCAUAUGAGCAAGAGCAAAGACAAAGGCAUCCUUGUUAAAGCUGAUCCUGAAUCUGAAAGGACCUUGAAGAGAAAGCUAAGAGAAGCUAAAGUACAAAUCUCUCUAGAGGGCCUAACAGAGCUCUUCAAGGAGGAAGAAGCCAUGGCAGCCGAAAACAACAAUGCCAAUAAUGCAAGGAAGGUGCUUGGUGACUUUACUGCACCUACUCCCGACGAAUCCCUCUAUGAAGCUUGGGAAGGAUACAAGCAAUUGAUCAGAAGGUGUCCUUCUGACAUGCUUUCUGAAUGGAGCAUCAUAGGUAUCUUAUAUGAUGGUCUAUCUGAACUGUCCAAGAUGUCAUUAGACAGCUCUGCUGGAGGAUCUCUUCAUCUGAAGAAGACGCCUGCAGAAGCUCAGGAACUCAUUGAAAUGGUUGCAAAUAACCAAUUCAUGUACACUUCUGAAAGGAACCCUGUGAAUAAUGGGAUAAAUCAGAAGAAAGAAGUUCUUGAGAUUGAUACUCUGAAUGCCAUACUGGCUCAGAAUAAAAUAUUGACUCAGCAAGUCAAUAUGAUUUCUCAAAGUCUGUCUGGAAUGCAAGCGGCACCAGGCAGUACUAAGGAAGCUUCCCCUGAAGAAGAAGCUUAUGAUCUUGAGAACCCAGCAAUGGAAGAGGUGAAUUACAUGGGAGAACCCUAUAGAAACACCUAUAAUCCUUCAUGGAGAAAUCAUCCAAAUCUCUCAUGGAAGGAUCAACAGAGACCUCAACAAGGUUUCAACAACAGUAAUGGUGGAAGAAACAGGUUUAGCAAUAGCAAGCCUUUUCCAUCAUCUUCUCAGCAACAGACAGAGGAUUCUAAGCAGAGCCACUCUGACUUAGCAACUAUAGUCUCUGAUCUAAUUAAAAUCACUCAAAGUUUCAUGACUGAAACAAGGUCCUCCAUUAGAAAUUUGGAGGCACAAGUGGGUCAGCUGAGUAAGAAAAUUACUGAACUCCCUCCUAGUGCUCUUCCAAGUAAUACAGAAGAAAAUCCAAAGAGAGAGUGCAAGGCCUUAAACACGUCUCACAUGGCCGAACCUGGAGAAGAGGAAGAGGCAAUGAUCUCCACUGAGGAAGACCUCAAUGGACGUCCACUGGCCUCCAUGGAAUUCCCUGAUGAGAAACCAUGGGAAUCUGAGGCUCACAUAGAGACCAUAGAGAUUCCAUUGAAUUUACUCCUGCCAUUCAUGAGCUCUGAUGAGUAUUCUUCCUCUGAAGAGGAUGAAGAUGUUACUGAAGAGCAAGUUGCUAAGUACCUUGGAGCAAUCAUGAAGCUAAAUGCCAAGUUAUUUGGUAAUGAGACUUGGGAGGAUGAACCUCCCUUGCUCACCAAAGAACUGAAUGACUUGACUAGGCUGAGAUUACCUCAAAAGAGACAUGAUCCUGGAAAGUUCUCAAUACCUUGUACCAUAGGCACCAUGACCUUUGAGAAGGCUCUGUGUGACCUAGGGUCAAGUAUAAACCUCAUGCCUCUCUCUAUAAUGGAGAAGCUAGGGAUCAUUGAGGUACAAGCUGCAAGAAUCUCACUAGAGAUGACAGACAAUUCAAGGAAAUAGGCUUAUGGACUUGUAGAGGAUGUCUUGGUAAAGGUUGAAGACCACUACAUCCCUGCUGAUUUCAUAAUCCUAGAGACUGGGAAGUGUAUGGAUGAAUCCAUCAUCCUUGGUAGACCCUUCCUAGCCACAGCAAAAGCUAUAAUUGAUGUUAACAGAGGAGAAUUGAUCAUUCAAGUGAAUGAAGACUCCCUUGUGUUUAAAGCUCAAGGAUAUCCCUCUGUAACCAUGGAGAGGAAGCAUGAAGAGCUUCUCUCAAUACAGAGACAAACAGAGCCUCCACAGUCAAACUCUAAGUUUGGUGUUGGGAGGCCACAACCAAACUUUAAGUUUGGUGUUGAACCCCCACAUUCAAACUCUAAAGUUUGGUGUUGGGAGGUUCCAACAUUGCUCUAAACAUCUGUGAGGCUCCAUGAGAGCCCACUGUCAAGCUAUUGACAUUAAAGAAGUGCUUGUUGGGAGGCAACCCAAUCUUUAAUUAUCUAUGUUAAAUUUCUAUUUUCUUUUGUUAUUUUAUGUUUUUUGUAGGUUGAUGAUCGUGUGAAAUCACAAAAAUAAUUGAAAAAGAAAAAACAGACUGAAAAACAGAAUGAAAAAUAGAACACCCUGGAGGAGAAACUUAUUGGCGUUUAAACGCCAGUAAAGGUAGCAGAAUGGGCGUUAAACGCCCAGUCUGGCACCAUUUUGGGUGUUUAACGCCAGAAAUGGGCACCAGACUGGCGUUUAACGCCAGAAAUGGGCAAGAAGCUGGCGUUAAGCGCCAGAAAUGGGCAGCAGCCUGGCGUUUAACGCCAGGACUGGCAGAAAGGGGCAUUUUCGCACGCCACUUGGUGCAGAGAUGAGAUAUCCCUGACACCUCAGGAUCUGUGGACCCCACAGGAUCCCCACCUACCCCACCUCUCUCUCUCUUCUUUACCCAUUCACCAAUCACCUCAAUACCUCUUCCCCAAAAACCUCUCACCUAUCAAAUCCCACAAUUCUCUUCACCACUCACAUCCAUCCUUCAUAAAACCCCACCUACCUCACCAUUCAAAUUCAAACCACUUUCCCACCCAAACCCACCCAUAAUGGCCGAACCAUACCCCCCUCUCCACUCCUAUAUAAACCCAUCUUCACUCCUUCAUUUUCACACAACAUACACACUACUUCUCCCCCUUGGUCGAAACACUAAGCCCCUUCCAUCUCCUCUAUUUCUUCUUCUUCUACUCUCUUCUUUCUUCUUUUGCUCGAGGACGAACAAACCUUCUAAGUUUGGUGUGGUAAAAGUGUUGCUUUUUGUUUUUCCAUAACUAUUUAUGGCACCUAAGGCCGGAGAAACCUCUAGAAAGAGGAAAGGGAAGGCAAAAGCUUCCACCUCCGAGUCAUGGGAGAUGGAGUGAUUCAUCUCAAGGGUGCACCAAGACCACUUCUAUGAAGUUGUGGCCAAGAAGAAGGUGAUCCCCGAGGUCUCUUUCAAACUCACAAAGGGUGAAUAUCCGGAGAUCCGACAUGAGAUUCGAAGAAGAGGUUGGGAAGUUCUCACCAACCCCAUUCAACAAGUCGGAAUCUUAAUGGUUCAAGAGUUCUAUGCCAAUGCAUGGAUCACCAAGAACCAUGAUCAAAGUGUGAACCCGGACCCAAAGAAUUAGCUUACAAUAGUUCGGGGGAAAUGCUUAGAUUUUAGUCCGGAGAAUGUAAGGUUGGCAUUCAACUUGCCCAUGAUGCAAGGAGAUGCACACCCUACACUAGAAGGGUCAACUUUUAUCAAAGGUUGGACCAAGUCCUCAUAGACAUCUGUGAAGAGGGCGCUCAAUGGAAGAGAGAUUCAAGAGGGAAGCCGGUUCAACAAUGAAGGCAUGACCUCAAGCCCGUGGCUAGGGAAUGGUUGGAGUUCAUUCAACACUCAAUUAUUCCCACUAGUAACCGGUCUGAAGUUACUAUAGACCGGGCUAUCAUGAUCCAUAGCAUCAUGAUUAAGGAGGAAGUAGAAGUUCAUGAAGUUAUAUCCCAAGAACUCUACAAGGUGGCGGACAAGUCCUCUACUUUGGCAAGGUUAGCCUUCCCUCAUCUCAUUUGUCACCUCUGCAAUUCAGCUGGAAUUGACAUAGAGGAAGACAUCCUCAUUGAUGAGGAUAAGCCCAUCACUAAGAAAAGGAUGGAGCAAACAAAAGAUCCCACUCAUGGACAUGAGGAAAUUCCUCAUCAUGAAAUCCCUGAGAUGCCUUAAGGGAUGCAUUUUCCUCCACAAAACUAUUGGGAGCAAAUCAACACCUCCCUAGGAGAACUAAGUUCUAACAUGGGACAACUAAGGGUGGAGCACCAAGAGCAUUCCAUCCUCCUCCAUGAAAUUAGAGAAGACCAAAGAGUCAUGAGAGAGGAGCAACAAAGGCAAGGAAGAGACAUUGAGGAGCUUAAGCACUCCAUUAGAUCUUCAGGAGGAAGAACAAGCCGCCAUCACUAAGGUGGACCCGUUCUUUAAAUUCCUUGUUCUUUAUUUUCUAUUUUUCGAAAAUUAUGCUUUAUGUUUAUCUAUGUUUGUGUCUUUAUUACAUGAUCAUUAGUGUCUUAGUGUCUAUGCCUUGAAGCUAUGAAAAUGAAUCCAUCACAUUUCUUAAAUGAAAAAUAUUUUUAAUUGAAAAAGAAAAAGAAGUGCAUGAAUUUCAAAUUUUAAAACAGUUUAGUUAUUUUGAUGUGGUGGCAAUGCUAUUGUUUUUCUGAAUGAAUGCUUGAACAGUGCAUAUUUUUUGAAUUUGUUGAUUCAUGAAUGUUAAAAUUGUUGGCUCUUGAAAGAAUGAUGGAAAAGGAGAAAUGUUAUUUGAUAAUCUGAAAAAACAUAAAAUUGAUUCUUGAAGCAAGAAAAAGCAGUGAAAAGCUUGCAGAAAAAAAUAAAUAUAUGCGAAAAAAAUGCGAAAAAAGAAAAAAAAAAGAGAAAGAAAGAAAAAGAAAAAGCAAGCAGAAAAAACCAAUAGCCCUUUAAACUAAAAGGCAAGGUAAAAUAAAAAGGAUCCAAGGCUUUGAGCAUCAGUGGAUAGGAGGGCCCACAGGAAUAAAUUCCUGGCCUAAGCGGCUAAACCAAGCUGUCCCUAACCAUGUGCUUGUGGCGUGAAGGUGUCAAGUGAAAACAUGAGACUGANNNNNNNNNNNNNNNNNNNNNNNNNNNNNNNNNNNNNNNNNNNNNNNNNNNNNNNNNNNNNNNNNNNNNNNNNNNNNNNNNNNNNNNNNNNNNNNNNNNNNNNNNNNNNNNNNNNNNNNNNNNNNNNNNNNNNNNNNNNNNNNNNNNNNNNNNNNNNNNNNNNNNNNNNNNNNNNNNNNNNNNNNNNNNNNNNNNNNNNNNNUGAGCGGUUAAAGUCGUGGUCCAAAAGCAAAAAGAGUGUGCUUAAGAGCUCUGGACACCUCUAAUUGGGGACUCUAGCAAAGCUGAGUCACAAUCUGAAAAGGUUCACCCAGUUAUGUGUCUGUGGUAUUUAUGUAUCGGGUGGUAAUACUGGAAGACAAAAUGCUUUAGGUCACGGCCAAGACUCAUAAAGUAGCUGUGUUCAAGAAUCAACAUACUUAACUAGGAGAAUCAAUAACACUAUCUGGAUUCUGAGUUCCUAUAGAAGCCAAUCAUUUUGAACUUCAAAGGAUAAAGUGGGAUGGCAAAACUGUUCAGAAGCAAAAAGCUAAAAGCCCCGCUCAUCUAAUUAAUACUAAUCUUCAUAGAUAUUUUUGGAAUUCAUUGUAUAUUCUCUUCUUUUUAUCCUAUUUGAUUUUCAGUUGCCUGGGGACAAGCAACAAUUUAAGUUUGGUAUUGUGAUGAGCGGAUAAUUUAUACGCUUUUGGCAUUGUUUUUAGUAUGUUUUUAGUAUAUUUUAGUCAGUUUUUAUUAUGCUUUUAUUAGUUUUUAUUUAAAAAUUACAUUUCUUGAAUUUACUAUGAGUUUGUGUGUUUUUCUGUGAUUUCAGGUAUUUUCUGGCUGAAAUUGAGGGACCUGAGCAAAAAUUUGAUUCAGAGGCUAAAAAAGGACUGCAGAUGCUGUUGGAUUCUGACCUCCCUGCACUCGAAGAUGAUUUUCUGGAGCUACAGAAACCCAAUUGGCACGCUCUCAAUUGCGUUGGAAAGUAGACAUCCUGGGCUUUCCAGCAAUAUAUAAUAGUUCAUACUUUUUUCAAGAUUUGAUGGCCCAAACCGGCGUUCCAAGUCAGCUUAAGAAUUCUGGCAUCAAAACGCCAGAACUGGCACAAAAGCUGGAGUUAAACGCCCAAACUGGCACAAAAGCUGGCGUUUAACUCCAAGAAAAGUCUCUACAUGUGAAAGCUUCAAUGCUCAGCCCAAGCACACACCAAGUGGGCCCGAAAGAAGAUUUCUGCAUUAAUUACUUAUUUCUGUAAACCCUAGGCUACUAGUUCUCUAUAAAUAGGACCUUUUACUAUUGUAUUUUCAUCUUGGUUCUUCAGGUUCCCUCUCUGGGGCCAAAGCCAAUGACCACCAUUAUCACUUUUGUAUUUUCAAUGGUGGAGUUUCUACACACCAUAGAUUAAGGUGUGGAGCUCUGUUUUUCUUCCUGAAUUAAUGCAAAGUACUACUGUUUUUCUAUUCAAUUCACGCCUACUUCUUCUCUAAGAUAUUCAUUCGCACACAAGAACAUGAUGAAUGUGAUGAUUAUGUGACACUUAUCACCAUUCUCACCUAUGAACGCGUGUCUGACAACCACUUCCGUUCUACAUGCAAACAAGCUUGAAUGUGUAUCUCUUGGAUUUCUAAUCUAAGAUUAGAACCUUCGUGGUAUAGGCUAGAAUUAUUGGCGGUCAUUCUUGAGAUCCGGAAAGUCUAAACCUUGUCUGUGGUAUUCCGAGUAGGAUCUGGGAAGGGAUGACUGUGACGAACUUCAAACUCGCGAGUGUUGGGCGUGUGACAGACGCAAAAGGAUCAAUGGAUCCUAUUCCAACAUGAUCGAGAACCGACAGAUGAUUAGCCGUGCGGUGACAGCGUGCGUAGAACAUUUUCACUGAGAGGAGGGGAAGUAACCAUUGAGAACGGUGAUGCCCAACAUAAAGCUUGCCAUGGAAAGGAGUAUGAAUGAUUGGAAGAAGGCAAUAGGAAAACAGAGGUUCAGAAGGAACAAAGCAUCUUUAUACGCUUAUCUGAAAUUCCUACCAAUGAAUUACAUAAGUAUCUCUAUCUCUAUCUUUAUUUUAUGUUUUAUUUAUCUUUAAUUAUCAAUUCUCCAUAACCAUUUGAAUCCGCCUGACUGAGAUUUACAAGAUGACCAUAGCUUGCUUCAAGCCGACAGUCUUCGUGGGAUCGACCCUUACUCACGUAAGGUAUUACUUGGACGACCCAGUGCACUUGCUGGUUAGUUGUGCGGAAUUGUGACAAAGUGUGAUUCAUGUUUGAGAGCUCCAAGUCUUUGGCACCAUUGUUGAUGAUCACAAUUUCGUGCACCAGCAGGCAACUCAAGCUUAUAAGCUACUGAACUCAACUUCUGACAGAUUUUAAAUGGCCCAAAAUAUUUCAUACCCAGCUUCUGGUGUUUUCUCAAAGCUGCGGAAUGCUGGCGAUACGGUUGCAACUUAACUAACACCAAUUCACCUUCUGCCAACUCUGAAUCCCUUCGAUUUCUAUCUGCAUAUGUCUUCAUAAAUUGCUGUGAUCUAGUCAUAUUAGUCUUUAGUUGUUCCAACAGUUUGUCGCGCACUAUCAGCAACUCUUGUAAUGAAGGUUCAUCCAGCGGGGAAAGCUCGUAGCGAAUAAGAGAGGGGGGGUCCCUACCAAAUAGAGCUUUAUAAGGAGACAUAUUUAUGCUGCUGUGAAAAGAAGUAUUGUACCAAUACUGUGCCCACAGAAGCAUCUCAAACCAUUUCCAUGGAUUGUCAAAACAAUAGCACCUCAAGUACAUCUCUAGAGUCUUGUUAAGCACCUCACUUUGACCAUCGGUCUCAGGAUGAUAUGCAGAACUCAUCGCUAAGGUUGUGCCUUGCAGCUUGAACAAUUGUUGCCAAAACUUGCUAAUAAAGACCUUAUCCCGAUCGGAGACGAUGGAUUUAGGGAACCCAUGCAACUUAACCACAUUAGUGACGAAAACCUCUGCUACAAUACGACUGUUAAAGUCAUAUUUCAAAGGUAGGAAGUGGGCAAACUUGGUGAGUCUAUCUAUGACUACCAUGAUAACAAAGAAUCCAUGUGAUGGAGGCAAGGCAGUAAUAAAAUCCAUACAAAUAUCAUCCCACACUUGAGCAGGGACUGGUAAGGGCUUCAGCAACCCUGCCGGCAAUUUAGUUUCAUUUUUUGCUUGCUGACAAAUGGAACAGCACAUAACAUAGUUCUUGAUAUCCUUCUGCAUAUUGGGCCAAUAAAAAUUAGAGCAAAUACACUCCACUGUCUUUGCAAUGCCCGAAUGACCACCAAUGGAGCUAUCAUAGUACUCCUUUAAAAUAAUGUUUUUUAGGUUACUCGUAGAGGGUACAACCACUCUAUUUCAUCAUAAAAGAAUCCCAUUUCGACAAAUGUAGUUGCUGUCCUGCAUGUUGUUAUUAAGGCACCUUUGCUUAAUGGAAUUCCAAUGUUCAUCCUGCUCAAUAUCAUUUUGUAAGAGUUGCAGCCACUCUAAUUUCAGUGACGACCAAGCAGCAAAGAAACUUCGAGAAAGCGCAUCCGUAACAACAUUCUCUUUGCCCGAUGUGUACUGAAUUUCAAAAUCAUAACCAAGUAAUUUGUGCAACCAUUUCUGCUGUUCAGGUGUGUGUAAAUUCUGGGUCAAUAAUGCCUUAAGGCUUUGCUGAUCUGUUUUGAUAAUGAAUCGCUUACCCAACAGGUAGUGCUGGAACUUGGCUACGGCCUCUGUGAUCGCAUAAAUUCUCUAGUAUACGUUGACUGACGCUGCAUCGUAGGAACCAAUUUCUUAGAGAAAUAAGCAAUUGGAUACUUCCCUUGGGACAGAACUGCUCCAAUCCCCACGCCUGAAGCAUCACAUUCAAUUACAAAUGGUAACAAAAAAUUCGGUAGUGCCAGGACAGGUUUAGAAGUAACAGCAGCUUUGAGUUCCUGCAAUGCUCUUUCAGCCUUAUCACUCCACUGAAAACUGUCCUUUUUUAAUAAAUCAGUGAGGGGGGCUGCCAUAGAAGCGUAACCUUUGAUGAAUCGUCGAUAAUACCCCGUAAGGCCCAAGAAUCCGCGUAACUGCUUCAGAUUCUGUGGCUGCUGCCAAUCCAAGAUCGCCUGCACCUUGUCCUUCUCCAUAUGGACACCAUUACCCAAGAUCGUGUGGCCUAAGUAAUCAAUCUCUGUCACACCAAAUAAACAUUUUGACAACUUGGCAAAUAAAGUUUCCCUUUGCAGCACUUGCAAUACUGUCUCAAGGUGCUGGAGAUGAGAAUUCCAGGAAGGACUAUAAACAAGAAUAUCAUCGAAAAACACUAAAACAAACUUUCGCAAGUAAGGGCGGAAAACGUCAUUCAUUAGGCCUUGAAAUGUAGCUGGCGCAUUCGUCAAUCCAAAUGGCAUUACUAGCCAUUCAUAGUGCCCUUGGUGGGUCCUAAAUGCCGUCUUGUAUCUAUCCGCAAGAUGCACCAAGAUUUGAUGAUAACCAGACUUUAAGUCCAAUUUAGAAAACACAGUAGCACCAAACAGUUUAUCCAAGAGUUCAUCAACAGUUGGUAUCGGAAAGCAGUCCUUAGUAGUGAUGUUAUUCAAAGCCCUAAAUCCGUACAAAAUCGCCAAGUUCUAUCUUUCUUUUUAACUAAUAAUAUCGGAGAAGAAAAAGGACUCUUACUAGGUCGAAUGAUGCCGUCAUCCAACAUUUGCUGCACCAUCUCUUCAAUUUGGGCCUUUUGACUGUGUGGGUAGCGAUAUAGAUAAACUUUAACUGGAGUGGCUUCUGCAACUAGAGGAAUGCAAUGAUCGUGGUCCCUCUACGGUGGUAGGCCAGUAGGUUGAGCAAACACCUUCGAAUAAGACUGCAGUAAUGCAGCCAAAUCUGGCCUGAUAUCCUGGGGUUAGGGGUGUCCGCGGAUCGGAUCGGAUCGGAUAUGGCCGAAAAUUGAUCCGAUCCGCACAAUUUUCAUCGGAUCGGAUCGGAUAUGAUAUCCGCACUUUUUAGUGCCGGAUCCGAUCCGAUCCGAUCCGCACAUUUGCGGAUCGGAUCGGAUCGGAUAUAUCCGCAUAAUUAAACCUUCUCUUUUUAAUCAUAUUUCUAUGUAAAAGAAUUCAAUAAAAAUAUUUCUUUCAUACUUUUAAACUUAUUUAUUCCUAAAAUAUUUUUAAUCAAACUAUCUCUAAAUAACAAAAAUAAAAUAAUACAAUAUAUGAAUAAUAAUUACUAACUAAAACAUACAAACAAGUAAAUAUAAUACCAAACAUAUAUAUUUAUUUAUUUUUUAAUUAUUAUAGUGCGGAUCUGCGGAUCCGCGGAUCGGAUACGCGGAUGUAGAGUAGAUAUCCGCGAUCCGAUCCACAAAGGGUGCAGAUCGGAUCGUAUCCGCAAUUUUCGGAUCGGAUGCGGAUAUUUACCGCGGAUCUGCGGAUACGAUCCGAUCCAUGGACACCCCUACCUGGGGUAGUUGCACAGAAUCACCACCUGUAGCUGUUGUCUUAUGAACUUGAAUGGUAAAUGCUUCAGCAAUUGCAUUGGUGUGGACCAUUCGCUUAAUAUGAUGGAAUUGAGCCGGAGCUGGCAUGUGAGAUUUGUCCCCAAAAACUGUCACAAACUUUCCAUCAUGAAGAAACCUGAUAAAUGAAGAAUCAUAGUCGACGAUAUGGGCCUUUAAUGUUUUUAACCAAGUCGUGCCAAUAACCAAAUCACCGCCGGCAACAUGUAGUACAUAAACUUUAGGAAUAUCCACCUUAAUACAUUGCAUUGUUACCUCCAAAGUAGGAAUACACCCCUCCACUGUCAUCAUAUCAAAAUUACCCACCAUAACUCUAAACCCAGGUGCUGGCUGCACUGGUAAGUUCAAAAAUUGGGCGAUUCUGGGUUGUAUGAAACUGUGGGAACUCCCACCAUCAAUCAAAGCUUGGAUUUCCACCCCAUUAAUGAAUGCUUUGAUGCGAAUAGUAGCGGGGCCAGAAUUGCCAUUCAUUGCAUUGUAAGACAGAUGGUGAUCAACCACCUGCUGAUCCAAUUGUGGCAACAACUCUGGAACUGUAGCAAUAGCAGUCAUAGGUUCCUCUAUAGCCUGUUCCUCAUCCUCCUCCAGCUGAAGCAACAUCAAAUGCUUAUGUGGGCAUUUGUGGCCAGGAAAAAAAUUUUCAUCACACCAAUAGCACAGACCUUUAUCGCGUCUAUUUUGAAUCUCAGCUGAAGUGAGUCGCUUGACUUGGUUACGAUUGGGGUUUGGUAGAGUUCUCAGAGGCGGUGUAGGUAAUAGAGGUGGUAAAGGUUGUCUGGGUGGGGUUCUGUUGGAAGUGUUUGAGGUUUGUGGUUGGAGUGGCGGACGAGAGAUUGAUGGACCAUGUGAUGGUUUAGUGUUGGUGGCAAAUUUAUCCUCGUAGAGGCGAGCUAAACUGAUAGCUCUCAUUAAUGAAGGAGGGCACUGUGCUUUAACUUCUCGUCGCACAUCAGGUUUCAACCCACUGAUGAAGCAGUCCCGUAGGGCAUCCGGGGGCUCGACGUUGGUGUGAUUUUCCAGAGCCACAAAUUCAGAACAGUAUUCAGUAACCGAGCCACUCUGCUGCAGCUUAAACAAAAUCUCGCGAGGAGAUUCGAACAUAGAAGGCCCAAACUCAAUUUCAAUCGCUCGUUUCAGCUGAUUCCAAGAGCGAAAUGGUGCGGUACAUUGCGACAUUUGAAACCAAGGUAUCGCCAUCCCUGACAUGUGAAUCGCGGCAAUCCCGAUUUGUUCCUCCUCUGGCACACGGUAAAAUUCAAAGUACUAAUCAACAGAGAAUAUCCAUCCCAAUGCGUCUGUGCCAUCGAACUUGGGAAGAUCAAAGUUCAUCCUACGAUGCGGUUGCGCAUUCCGAGUAUGUUCAUAACUCGAGCUCGACCCAUGAGGCGGAUGCUAAUGCGUAGAGGAUUCCUGGUUAAUGAGUUGUGCGAUGGAGGCCUGGAUAGCAUCGAACUUGGAGUUAGACAACUCAGUAGCGCGGGCUCGCUCCGCACGGGUUUCGUCUAUCACAUCCUCUAACAUCUGAAAUAAUUUUUUUUAUGUCAGCCUCCAUGCCCUUCAUACGUGUGUUAUCCGCGACUGCCAUGGUCAAUGAAAGCACCAAAUGGUAGGGUAUGAUGCAACUGACUUUUAUGAUGACUUAAAAAAAAGAAAUGAAAGUACAGUAAUGGAAAAGGGUUCUGCAGCUCUUCAAUGAAAUAGUACAGAAAGGAACUAUUAAAAGGUAGUCAUUGUAAAAGUAAGCAAAAGAUAAUAAAGCGGUAUAAUAAUCGAGGAGAAUCGCAGGAUAGCUUCCAAGAUUCAGCAAUGUCCUGGGAAAGGGAGAAAGAAAAUUCAGAAUGAUUUCAGAGAAGGUACACAGAGAGAGGUUCAGAGAGAGUCAGAGAAAGUAAGAGAGAGAUGACCAAUUACCACAAGUUCCUUACCCAACAAACUCCUCCAGCCUCCUAUUAAAAGUUCUUUCUCUCUUGCCUUUUCUCACUUCCUGAAUUGGUGGAUUUUGCGCCAUCUGUCCACUCUGCAUAACUAACUCCUUUUCUUCAUUGAGUGCCAGCUGCUCCUCAUUGUUGGAGACUAAUUCAUCAUUAAAGUAAGGAUUUGAAAUUUUAAAUCAGCAAAACCAAGGAUUUGAAAUUUUAAAUCAGCAAAACAAAGAAAUUCAUCAUUAAAGACUAAUUCAUCAUUAAAGAUGAAUGUGGAGGAAAAACAGUUAUUGCUAUCUGAAAUUUUAAAUCAGCAAAACCAAGGAUUUGAAAACAUCAGACUAGAAAGCCAUGAUGCUUCAUUUCUUGAAAGCAAUAAAUUCGGAUCUGUGUCUACUUCAAGUUUGUACCAUUAAUAUGAAAGUAAAAUGGCGGCUCUGAUAAGGAAAAAUGGAAUUCUAGAGGGACAACUGGCGGCUUCCCUCGCAAACAAAGAAGCCGCAGAGAAAAGCUUAGCAUCUGCUAUUAAAAGCCGGAACGAAAUGGAGACAAAACUAGGCGAGGCACUGAAGGAGAUGGAAUCACUGAGAGAAAAGCUGGGGGGUUUAGAGUUAGCACAAGAGGAGGCUAACAACCUAUCAAGCAUGGUCCAUUCGGAUAAUGUACGGCUCGAACACGAUGUGGCCUUCUUCAAGGCUGUUUGGUAGCGUUUGUUUUGAGGUACUAAGAUAGAGACUGGGAGACUGAAACUCAGUAUCAUGUUUGUUGGUUCAAAGACUGGUAUUAAAUUUUCUGUCUCUGUCCCUAAAAUUUCAGUAUUUCAGUACCUCCAGAAUGUAGGAACACAGGAGACUAAAAUUUUUAGAGAUGGAGACUGAAACUUUAAUAACAUUUUAUACCUAAAAUAUCCUCAUUUCAAUUAAUUAAUUCCAAUUUUACCUUUUGUACAAAUUAAAUUAGAGUUUUAUUCUUAUUUUAAUUUCUAUCUCCCACUUUGCACCAAACAGAAUACUGAGAUUUAUUUCAAUCUCUGUCUCUUAGUUUCUAUCUCUCAGUCUCAGUCUUUCCGUCUCUGUCUCUCCACCAAACGUUUAGAUGAUACACAAAAGGUACAUAACAUUAACACACUUUGAUGGAAAAAAGCACUUGGAUCAAUCAUUUUAUACAAUAAUGUAAUCGGCUGAUUGAGUUUUUGUUGUAGGAGCUGCACUCAACCAGAGGUGUGAUUGCUGGAGAGAGAGCCAGGGCAUUCCAACUACAGGUAUAAAUAAUAAAUAUAACUAUUUGUAUUGAUUACUAGCCUUAGCUGUAUCAUUCAUAACAUCACUUUCUUGUUGUACACAGUAUGAAGUAUUUCAUCUCAAACAGAGAUUGCAAUCAGUGGAGAAUCGAGAACCUACUCCAAGGAAACCUUUUGAUCUGCAGUGAAGUGAAGUGGGUAGUUGAAGAGUAGUUACUAAUAACCAUUUAAAUCAGUUAAUGUGAUCUUUAUUUAUUUAUUUAUUUUUUAACAAUUUGUGAUCCAGUGAUAUAGUGGGUAAUGGUAACUGCCAUUAUGUUAAUGUGAAUAAACUAACAGGCAGAGGAACGUAAAAAUGGUAUUUGUCUUUUUCUCUUAUUUUAUUUAACUAAAUCUAAUUCCAGUUGCCACCUUAAAAGUUCUGAUAUUGUUUAUUGCUCCUGAACAUUGAAAAAUUAAUGAACUAAACCAGCAAAAUGAAUGCAAAUAUCAAAAGAGAACUCAUAGGCAACUAGACUGAAAUUCAAAAAGGAAUCCACAAAACUCAAGACAUCAAUUUACUAUCCAUUACUGCAAGAUUCAUUUUCUCAUGAUACAGCUUCAAUAAGUCGGGAGCAUGAUCCUUAGCACGAUUAACAUACUUCUUAAAGAAAUCCCCUUCAGAAACAUAAUAUGCAGAAACAUGCCUGCCACUCUUAAUGACACCAUUGGAGAUAAGAAUCUUCAUGACAGCAGCCCUCGGAAAUACCCUUUUGUCCAAAUCCAGCGAGAGAAGAACCGGAUUAUUGGUUACUUCAGCAGGCUCCCAACCGAGUUCUUUGACAAACAAUCCAAUGCAGUCCUCAAUUUUCUGCACAGAUUUCAGCAUACAGAAAGGGUGCUUCACAAAAGCCUCACGAAUGUUGUCAUCAGUUAAUCCAAAACUCUUGUACAACUCAACUUUCUUAUCCCACAUGGACUUUGGAAGAAACUUAGCAUAUAAUGCAGGAACAAAAUUAGACUUGUUGGGAUCAACCCCCAUUUUAAUGACUUCAUCUAUUAUACUCUUAAGGCGAACUUCAGAAGUGUAUAGAAUCAACCAAGGCCACUGGCGAAUUAGCCAUGACAUGCUUAUCUCACGGGCUCCUAAAUCAACCAACAUGUUAAUAUUUCGAAGCGUCCUAGAACAAGUUAAAAUUUGGCCAGCGCGUAAGAUAGAAGCAACGGUCCUUUCUUCAGAACGAAUGAAAUUGUUCAACAAAUCGAAAGUGGGGAUCAGGUGUUUCUCUAAGCUUCUUUUCAAGAUUAGAGGGUUGAGCUCGAUGAGGCGGGCAAGUUGGGAUUUUGAAGCACCUUUGGAGAUGAGGAACUGGAGCUUGGGCAAGAUGGUCUCUUUGGGUUUGCUGACGAGAAGCUGGGGCGAUCUCCGAAUGACAUUGUGAAUCUGCAAAUCUGAGAAACCGAAGCUCCUGAAGAGUGCGAUGACUGAGUCGGGUUUCUCGGGACUCUUUAAAAGGACGUAUUUCGAAGUAUGAAGAGCGGAAUCUGGGAGGAACCCACAAUUUUCCACGAGGUAAUUCACCGUAAAGGAUUGUUUUUCCAGGGUUUUUGUGGCUGUGGCGUAAUUGGGAGCAGGGAAUGGGGAAGAUGGUGAAGGAAUCAGAAAUGAGGUUGAUGGGGUUCUUGUUAUGACAGUAAGGUGGUACAAGAACAGGUUUUUGAGACAAGAUCCCCGCAUGAGUUCUAAUUUUUU
rnacentral:lncRNA from 1 species